rnacentral:rRNA from 1 species
CUUGGUCAUUUAGAGGAAGUAAAAGUCGUAACAAGGUCUCCGUAGGUGAACCUGCGGAGGGAUCAUUACACAAAUAUGAAGGCGGGCUGGAACCUCUCGGGGUUACAGCCUUGCUGAAUUAUUCACCCUUGUCUUUUGCGUACUUCUUGUUUCCUUGGUGGGUUCGCCCACCACUAGGACAAACAUAAACCUUUUGUAAUUGCAAUCAGCGUCAGUAACAAAUUAAUAAUUACAACUUUCAACAACGGAUCUCUUGGUUCUGGCAUCGAUGAAGAACGCAGCGAAAUGCGAUAAGUAGUGUGAAUUGCAGAAUUCAGUGAAUCAUCGAAUCUUUGAACGCACAUUGCGCCCUUUGGUAUUCCAAAGGGCAUGCCUGUUCGAGCGUCAUUUGUACCCUCAAGCUUUGCUUGGUGUUGGGCGUCUUGUCUCUAGCUUUGCUGGAGACUCGCCUUAAAGUAAUUGGCAGCCGGCCUACUGGUUUCGGAGCGCAGCACAAGUCGCACUCUCUAUCAGCAAAGGUCUAGCAUCCAUUAAGCCUUUUUUUCAACUUUUGACCUCGGAUCAGGUAGGGAUACCCGCUGAACUUAAGCAUAUCAAUAAGCG